GAUGAACGCUGGCGGCGUGCCUAAUACAUGCAAGUCGAGCGAACGGAUGAGAAGCUUGCUUCUCUGAUGUUAGCGGCGGACGGGUGAGUAACACGUGGAUAACCUACCUAUAAGACUGGGAUAACUUCGGGAAACCGGAGCUAAUACCGGAUAAUAUUUUGAACCGCAUGGUUCAAAAGUGAAAGACGGUCUUGCUGUCACUUAUAGAUGGAUCCGCGCUGCAUUAGCUAGUUGGUAAGGUAACGGCUUACCAAGGCAACGAUGCAUAGCCGACCUGAGAGGGUGAUCGGCCACACUGGAACUGAGACACGGUCCAGACUCCUACGGGAGGCAGCAGUAGGGAAUCUUCCGCAAUGGGCGAAAGCCUGACGGAGCAACGCCGCGUGAGUGAUGAAGGUCUUCGGAUCGUAAAACUCCGUUAUUAGGGAAGAACAUAUGUGUAAGUAACUGUGCACAUCUUGACGGUACCUAAUCAGAAAGCCACGGCUAACUACGUG
rnacentral:rRNA from 1 species